AACGAACGCUGGCGGCAGGCUUAACACGUGCAAGUCGAGCGCCCCGCAAGGGGAGCGGCAGACGGGUGAGUAACACGUGGGAACAUACCCUUUACUACGGAACAACUCCGGGAAACUGGAGCUAAUACCGUAUGUGCCCUUUGGGGGAAAGAUUUAUCGGUAAAGGAUUGGCCCGCGUUGGAUUAGCUAGUUGGUGGGGUAAAGGCCUACCAAGGCGACGAUCCAUAGCUGGUCUGAGAGGAUGAUCAGCCACAUUGGGACUGAGACACGGCCCAAACUCCUACGGGAGGCAGCAGUGGGGAAUAUUGGACAAUGGGCGCAAGCCUGAUCCAGCCAUGCCGCGUGAGUGAUGAAGGCCUUAGGGUUGUAAAGCUCUUUCACCGAUGAAGAUAAUGACGGUAGUCGGAGAAGAAGCCCCGGCUAACUUCGUGCCAGCAGCCGCAGUAA
rnacentral:rRNA from 1 species